rnacentral:misc_RNA from 1 species
GAUGAAGAACGUAGCGAAAUGCGAUAAGUAGUGUGAAUUGCAGAAUUCAGUGAAUCAUCGAAUCUUUGAACGCACAUUGCGCCCCUUGGUAUCCCGAGGGGCAUGCCUGUUCGAGCGUCAUUUCACCACUCAAGCCUGGCUUGGUGUUGGGCGACGUCCCCUUUAGGGACGCGCCUCGAAACGCUCGGCGGCGUGGCACCGGCUUUAAGCGUAGCGGAAUCUUUCGCUUUGGAAGUCGGGGCCCCGCCUGCCGGAAUACCUACUCGUAAGGUUGACCUCGGAUCAGGCAGGGAUACCCGCUGAACUUAAGCAUAUCAAUAAGCGGAGGA